UAUAUAAUAGGAAUCAUUCACGACUUUUCACGCGUGGCGGCGCUGCGGUUCCAUAAGUGGUUACUUGAACGCUUCAAUCACGUAAAACGCUUGCAUCAGUAUUUACAACGUAAACAAUGGCAUCCGAUGAUUACAAUACCUGGUCUGUUCCAGAACUAACGUUACGUGGAGCUGCCACAAGAGACAGAAAUAUAGAUCUUAUAGAAAGAAUCAAUUAGAAGAGCCAAAAUUUAUAAGCUUAGAUUCAAAACAUUCUGGAGGAACAGAUUGUGUGAAGAAGCAACAGAAGUCAAGAGAAAUAAAAAGAAUGGAACAAAAGAAAAAUUGAAAAAGAACAGUGAAAUGACAAAAUUAAAUAAAAAUUUUGCAUUUCUUAUUGUUGUUAUCUUGUGUAUUGUUGACCAAGACAGCAAAGAAAACCAUCGAAAAGCUGUUCUGAGACAGAAAAUGACAGAUGCUACACAUGAUCAAACAAAAGAUAAAAAAACACUUCUAAGAAAAAAAUUGUUCAAUGCUGGACCAAAUGAAAUGCAUGAGGAUAUAUAUAAUCUGAAAUAAAAUGCUUUGCUGAGCGCAGCCUGAUACGACCGCAGAACCCUAUAGGUGUAACACCACUAAUUCGGCCCGGCCAGAAAGCACAUACCAGAAAGUAGUACAUAUUUAACACAAAAUAGUUCCUACACAUGAGUGUAACUUUCAAAAUAUGUAGAAUAUUUAGGUAUUGUUGGUAUCAAAUAAAAGCUGAAUGAAUGGUGAUCAUUGUAGAACACUUUUUGACUUAUAAUUUUGAAUAUAAAAAAAAAUGCACUAAAUUUUAUAAAGAGGGUACUUUUUGCCUGUAUGUCAGAUCUGAAGUACCUGUUUUGGUACAUCCGAAGUUCCGGGAACCAGUUCUUUCUUAUAUGCCAUUAAAGGUAUGUUGAUUUUUCCGGUACAAGACACCAUAAAGUGUUGCUUUGACAUGCAAUGAUUGUCACUUUAUUUGAACUUGAAACAAAAGAGCUGUGUCUGCUUGAAAUUGAGGAAUUUAACAUAGAAAGCAAUGGGGCCAUGAAUUAGUGGUGUACUUCCUAUACAGUUGGGGCAAAUUUGGACACAAUAUUCAAGCUUUAUACUGUCUGAAUUUGGAUUGUAAUCAAAUUUUUGACAUAAUAUAGGUUUCUGACACAAAAUAAAUGUGGUCAAAGAUCUUAUAAAUCCAUUGCGCAAUACUGUGCAAUUGAAGAUUUCUUCUUGAAACUUUUCAAAAAUUCGAAAUUUUAAAAAUUUUGAAAA